rnacentral:piRNA from 1 species
UGCGUAGUACUGGCUGAGCUUCUACUUGC